UGUUAAAAAUUUCAUCCAUUUAUAUUGUUAAAAACUAGCAUGAUUAACGAAAUAACCAGACAAUGAAACAUGGUGUGUCAUGUAUAGCUCAUAUUGAUGUAUAGGAACUAUUUUUUAAAAGUAAAAAUGGAUGUAAUUUUUAACA
rfam:Gossypium raimondii Chr03_contig_24, whole genome shotgun sequence.